rnacentral:rRNA from 1 species
CACGUAGGGCGCAAGCGUUGUCCGGAAUUAUUGGGCGUAAAGAGCUCGUAGGCGGCCUGUUGCGUCCGCUGUGAAAUCCCGGGGCUUAACCCCGGGCGUGCAGUGGAUACGGGCAGGCUGGAGGCAGGCAGGGGAGAACGGAAUUCCCGGUGUAGCGGUGAAAUGCGCAGAUAUCGGGAGGAACACCGGUGGCUAAGGCGGCUCUCUAGUACGGUACUGACGCUGAGACGCGAAAGCCAGGGGAGCGAACGGG